AGUCAGUCAGUCAGUCAGUCAGUCUCAGAUUAGGCGAUGAAGUCCCUGGAAGACAUCAAAAUUUUGACACCACUGAGGGCUAGGAGACUUUUGCCUGAUGCCCUUUAAACCUAUUCCUAUUAUUAUAGGAUGAAGAGGGUUAUGUCUCCUGGGUGACUGCUACUGGAUAGACUAUUGAGGAACCAUUGUGAAGGCGAUCUUUUGAUCAGAUGAAGGUUUCAUAGAAUUUGUUUGCUCUUGUCUAGCUGGUUCCUUUUAAUUGCACACAUUAAUUGGAGUUCCUCCUAAUGAGCCCCAAUGACUUGGACAUUCAAAGAAUAGUCAGUAAUAAAAAAGCAGGCCAUCUUGAUGUCCCAAAGAUGUGGGGUUUAUAUCAUUUAUUGUUAAAAUAGGGCAGCUUGUAGCACCAAAGACGAUGCUAUAUUGGAGGCACAUGGGAUUUGAAAUAUCUAUAAGAUUGUUCUGGUCAUGGAAUUGGCCUG
rnacentral:lncRNA from 1 species